UGGGGAAUUUUGGACAAUGGGGGAAACCCUGAUCCAGCCAUCCCGCGUGUGCGAUGAAGGCCUUCGGGUUGUAAAGCACUUUUGGCAGGAAAGAAACGUCAUGGGUUAAUACCCCGUGAAACUGACGGUACCUGCAGAAUAAGCACCGGCUAACUACGUGCCAGCAGCCGCGGUAAUACGUAGGGUGCAAGCGUUAAUCGGAAUUACUGGGCGUAAAGCGUGCGCAGGCGGUUCGGAAAGAAAGAUGUGAAAUCCCAGAGCUCAACUUUGGAACUGCAUUUUUAACUACCGGGCUAGAGUGUGGCAGAGGGAGGUGGAAUUCCGCGUGUAGCAGUGAAAUGCGUAGAUAUGCGGAGGAACACCGAUGGCGAAGGCAGCCUCCUGGUAUAACACUGACGCUCAUGCACGAAAGCGUGGGGAGCAAACAGG
rnacentral:rRNA from 1 species